UAAGAACCAGGAGGAAAGCCAAAAAGAGAGAGAGAGGUCAACCCUCGCAAAGAAUCGUAGUUACAACCAACAACAAACCGGUUUAACAUCUAGUCUCGAAACAAGUCAUCAUCAACAUCAUCAUAACCAUCCAGCAUUUGUUUUGUUUUGACGAAACACGAUAAUUGGUUACCAGAAGAUUACCAGAAGACUGUUUAAAGAUUUUCAGAAGGUAACCAGUAGAUUACUAGAAGAUUACCAGAAGAUUACCAGAUAACCAGAAGAUUUGCGGAAGAUGACCAGAAAAAUAACCAGUUGCUUACCAUAUGAGAAUCAGAAGGUAACCAGAAAUUAACAACGCCGUUUAGCAUAAAUUAACCAUUUUAAGGGGAAACAAAACGUUGAUUGAUCAACAAACAAGCAGGCAGCAAAACAGGACCGAGAUUAAGUUGAAGAUUAUAUUCACAAACACGCAUCACCUUUAACCUAAAGUCUUUACUUUUUGGCACAUUAAUGGUACCCAAAUUUUGCUUUGUUUGUGUAUCAAAAGUGUAAAAGGAUGAAAAGACAACCAUCUUCAACCUACACGGACACUUGCAUCUCACUCAAUGGUGAUCCUGCCUGUUAAAUAUACUGACCGAUAUAUGCUCAAGGUCAAUUUGAUACUCAGAUUACCAAAGUUAACUCAAGAAUCACCAUCAUCAUUAGGAAAGGAGCGAAGAUCAUCAUGAUAGUCAUAAUCAUGAUUAUUGCUGUUGUUAUUUUCAAGCUAAACCAAGUUGUAUCAGUUCAUUUGAUAACUUUGAGAAAAGAAGAAAAAUUUUAGUGAGAAAUCCUUUUCGUCCAUAUAAAUCAUGUUGAGUUAUUUUAAGAUGAAAAGCAUGACCAAAUCCAUAAAGUCAUCGCCACCACCACCACCAUUAUCAACAGCAAUUGGUCAACAACAAUGAUGAAUAUGACACUAGAAUGGUAACGAUAUUAGAAUGGGUCAACAAUAUAAUAGAUACAACAAUAGACGAUUACAGAUGUGACCAAGUCUCGAAUAUGGUACCCUUAAUGAAUGAAUAACCAUUAAACUGAUUGGUAUCAUCAUGAUCAGUUAAUUUUACUGGAUCGUUAUUAUUAUCAUUAUCAUCAUCAUCAUCAUCAGAUCUACUUUGACAAAAGGAUAACAAGAAAGGAAAUGAAAAGCAAUGAAAAAGGAAAAGAAGAAAGCGGCCUCAUCCCGAUUCCAAAUAAUUUGAUAAAAAUGGACACAGGCUACCGAUUCAGAACAAAAAUGGCCUUCUCUAUACAAGUCUAAUUAUCUGAUUCAUCUAUUUGAGAAGAUUCCGAAGGAGAAGAAGAAUGAGAAAAGAAUAAUGAACAUCAUCAUCAGCAACUGCUUCAAACUCAAAGAAGGUGUAAAAGGAUUUCAUGUUGGUGAUAAUGCUAUAAAACUCAGGAGAGAUGAAACGCGACUAGACUUUAAAUCGAUAAUGAUUAAAACAAGUUUCAAGGUUUUCUAACAUCUUUUUGUUACUUAGCUUCUGGGUCAAUCUGAUGCGCUUCAGAAACUUUUUUUCAUCUACAAAUCAAUGAAGGGAAACCACGUUAUUUAAAAUAGAUCAAAGGCUUUAAAAAGGAGAAACAAAUUAUUGGUACAAAAAAAGAACGGAAUAAAUCUUUGUUUCCAAUGUGAACUUGAUUAAUCGUCCAAUCAACCGUUUAUCAACAAACCAAUGGUCCAUUUCACCAUUACUCUAUUCACUACAUGAUUUAUUCACCAUCAUCAUCAUUCACAUUUGGUGAAAUGGUUAAAAUGAGAUAUUACUGUUGAAUUCACUCCUGAUAAUCAACUGGUUGCAACUUGAAACUCACAUUGGAAUCAACGGGAAAAGCCAUGGAACCAUCUGCUGACCCAUUCUACUGGAACCUUCAAUGAGAGAAAUUGGGAAAUACGAAAAACAUGGAAAAUGUUCAAAGAGAUUUAAAUUGAAUUGAUUGAUAGAUUCAAAGUAAAUUAAUAAAUAAUAAUCAAGAAUUUCCGAUGCAAGGUUACUUCGUGAUAUAAGGAUCAAUGUAAUCAACUUGGUCUGCUCUAGCGCCAUUUUGUGUGUGGGUUAGGUGUGGAUGUGAAUGUAACUCUUGGUAAAGAUACAUUCAAGUGGCCAAAUGUAAUAAAAUAACCUUGAUUUUGCUGGCUUUUGCUGAAUGGAUCGCUGAUAAUUGGAAUGGCUACUGAAAGAUAGAUUUAAUAGUUGUAAUAGUAAUAAAAAUUACUAUUAUUAUCAAACGAUACUAACAUUGCAAGAUGCAAAAAAUAUUGGGUGGUGUAAAACGGAUAAUGAUAACAAUUAAGGAAUUUGAAUCCCAUGAAAGGAAAAUUCAAAAUGUGAUAAAAUUCUGGGAUACACAAAAAGAUUUAAACCGUUCGAUGCAAAUCAACUCAAUUGGAUGUUAACCAACCUUUAAACUUAAUCAUUGGCAUUAGUAAACAGUGAAAUGGAUAACCGAUCUCUCAACAAUUUCCGAGUCAACAGUAAAAUUUUCUAACCGAGAUAAUUGAUUAUUUUUCAAGAAUACCAGACUAUCAACUGAUUACUUUGAUGAAACAGCUUUCUCCUGUUCAACAAAGCUUGCAGUUUAAUCCACUCAGUAUUAGACUGAUUGAAAUCUCAAUCUUUAAUGAGUUGCUGGUAAUCCUAAUAAUGUGUAAUCCAAGAUAUCAUGUUACUGCAGUUAAACGCCAUUACUGACUGCUCAAUGAAUAUUUGUUUCAUUUUGUGGUUUGUCAUUCAAAAUGAUUAUCUGUCACAUUUUGACUUGAUCAAUUCAAUAAACAUAUCUUUAUAUUUACUUCAAUUAUCAAGAAACC